ACGGGUGAGUAACGCGUGGGAAUCUACCGUACCCUACGGAAUAGCUCUGGGAAACUGGAAGUAAUACCGUAUACGCCCUAACGGGGAAAGAUUUAUCGGGGUAUGAUGAGCCCGCGUUGGAUUAGCUAGUUGGUGGGGUAAAGGCCUACCAAGGCGACGAUCCAUAGCUGGUCUGAGAGGAUGAUCAGCCACAUUGGGACUGAGACACGGCCCAAACUCCUACGGGAGGCAGCAGUGGGGAAUAUUGGACAAUGGGGGCAACCCUGAUCCAGCCAUGCCGCGUGAGUGAUGAAGGUCUUAGGAUUGUAAAGCUCUUUCAACGGUGAAGAUAAUGACGGUAACCGUAAAAGAAGCCCCGGCUAACUUCGUGCCAGCAGCCGCGGUAAUACGAAGGGGGCUAGCGUUGUUCGGAAUUACUGGGCGUAAAGCGCACGUAGGCGGGUAUUUAAGUCAGGGGUGAAAUCCCGCAUCUCAACUGCGGAACUGCCUUUGAUACUGGGUAUCUUGAGUAUGGAAGAGGUAAGUGGAAUUGCGAGUGUAGAGGUGAAAUUCGUAGA
rnacentral:rRNA from 1 species